rnacentral:rRNA from 1 species
AUGCACGCUGGCGGCGUGCCUAAUACCUGCAAGUAGAACGCUGAAGGAGGAGCUUGCUCUUCUGGAUGAGUUGCGAACAGGUGAGUAACGCGUAGGUAACCUGCCUGGUAGCGGGGGAUAACUAUUGGAAACGAUAGCUAAUACCGCAUGACAACAGUUAUUGCAUGAUAACUGUUUAAAAGGGGCAACUGCUCCACUACCAGAUGGACCUGCGUUGUAUUAGCUAGUUGGUGAGGUAACGGCUCACCAAGGCGACGAUACAUAGCCGACCUGAGAGGGUGAUCGGCCACACUGGGACUGAGACACGGCCCAGACUCCUACGGGAGGCAGCAGUAGGGAAUCUUCGGCAAUGGACGGAAGUCUGACCGAGCAACGCCGCGUGAGUGAAGAAGGUUUUCGGAUCGUAAAGCUCGGUUGUAAGAGAAGAACGAGUGUGAGAGUGGAAAGUUCACACUGUGACGGUAUCUUACCAGAAAGGGACGGCUAACUACGUG